CACAAAUAACGACUAACUACCCAUAAUUCAGUCCACCACAAUUUUUCUUACGUCGUGGUUGGACCCGCACUUUGCCCCAGAAUAAAAUCUCAUUCUGUAAGUUUAUAGUUAGAAACAAUUUCAAAGGAAUCAUUUAAAAUUUAACCUUUUUUCUCUUACAGUAUAACUUUUCAAAACUUUUUGAUAUCCUAGAAAUACAAAAGAAUUUUAGCGAUGAAACAAGUAAGUAGCCAUUUUGACUUCUUCAACGUGACCUUGCAGAAAUGCACCAUGUGUUUUUUAGAUUUUUUAAUUUUUGGAAUAAUUUUCGACACGUACAAUAAUUGUUAUUAACAUCCCUUAAGGCUUUACAUUUUAAAUCUAACCGUUGAUCUGUCCAAACUUAUAUAUUUUUGAAGUAAUCGAAUUCAUUCGACGAUGAAUAUUUUUCCCUUUUCUGAUUUUGUUUCCUAAAAACUUGACGUUGUGCCUGAGGAAGAGACUUUAAGUCUCGAAACAUGUAGCACUUAUAUAAAAAUAAAUUUCUUUCAUCGUU